UACGGAGGGUGCAAGCGUUAAUCGGAAUUACUGGGCGUAAAGCGCACGCAGGCGGUUUGUUAAGUUAGAUGUGAAAUCCCCGGGCUUAACCUGGGAACUGCAUUUAAGACUGGCAGGCUAGAGUCUUGUAGAGGGGGGUAGAAUUCCACGUGUAGCAGUGAAAUGCGUAGAGAUGUGGAGGAAUACCGAUGGCGAAGGCAGCCCCCUGGGAUAACACUGACGCUCAUGCACGAAAGCGUGGGGAGCAAACAGG
rnacentral:rRNA from 1 species